GUUCCUCCGGGUGGUAUAAUCUACUUGUGAGUGAAAGUAAGAUCCUAAGAGGUCCUUUCAAUAUAUUACCACUUCUUUGGGAAUAAGGAGUGAGAUUAUAUGGCAAGAGAAUUGGAGAAAUCAAA
rnacentral:rRNA from 1 species